rnacentral:rRNA from 1 species
GAUGAACGCUGGCGGCGUGCCUAACACAUGCAAGUCGAGCGGAAAUAUCGGAAGUAGUAAUACGGAAGGUAUUUUAGCGGCGGACGGGUGAGUAACACGUGAGUAACCUGCCUUUAGCAGAGGAAUAACAUUGGGAAACCAGUGCUAAUACCUCAUGACAUCACCUGGUGGCAUCACCGGGUGAUCAAAGGAGCAAUCCGGCUAAAGAUGGACUCGCGUCCGAUUAGCUAGUUGGUGAGGUAAAGGCCCACCAAGGCGACGAUCGGUAGCCGAACUGAGAGGUUGAUCGGCCACAUUGGGACUGAGACACGGCCCAGACUCCUACGGGAGGCAGCAGUGGGGAAUAUUGGGCAAUGGGCGAAAGCCUGACCCAGCAACGCCGCGUGAAGGACGAAGGCCUUCGGGUUGUAAACUUCUUUGAUCAGGGACGAAACAAAUGACGGUACCUGAAGAACAAGCCACGGCUAACUACGUG